GGGGUCCGUGGCCCUGGCAUGGACAAUCUCUACUCUGGAGACGCUAUCAGAAAACAUAAAGGAUUAGAGUCAGAAGAGAUGUUAAGAGUUAUCUAAGUUUACCCAAAGCAACCAUCUCCCCUGUAGCCUUUUGGAAAGUGACUGAAAGGAUCUGUAAGGAAGAGAUUUACCUAGCAUUUUUGAAAGUUAUGUGGUAGCUAUGGGAGGAUUCAAGUAGCAGCUCAAGCUCUGAUGAGAAAGAUGAAGAAGUUGCUUCUUUACCUUUUAAUCACAAUUAUAAAACAUUAACUGACAACCUAUACAUAUCCAGAUGAUAGAUCUGGCAAAGCUACUAGCACACUGUGUAGAAUAGCUGGUGUACAGAAUGUUUUUCUUCUAAAACAAAGUAUUCUUGCAGUGUUUCAUGUUCAAGAAUAUAUUCAUCAAACUCCAAGAGUUUUGGCCAGACUUCAGAUAACAGCCAAUGAGUCACUUUAAAAGAUGUCAAUGGAAAGUCCCAGGAGACCAUCUUAGGUAAUCUCUUCAUGUCAGAAAAUACAUUGAGUUAUCCACUUCCCACAAAGAUUUGAAAAGGCAAGAUGUUGACCGGUACAUCAAAAAAGCUUGUGCUGUUGCUCCUGGACAUCUUACAAGGCUGGUCUUCAGACUCACUUUCUCCAACUUGCCUGUUUCCCUUAACUAAGGUAAUGAAUUUUGCUGUAGAAUGUUACAAGAAAGAAGGCCAAUGCAAAACAAAAAUAUAGACCACUUAGAGAUUAUUGACAAUUUCACAAAGGUGGCAGCAGAACGUUAAACCAAGUGCUGUGUCCUUCUAAGCAUGGCGUCUGCGGAAGGAGAAUACCAGUUCCCGUGAAACUGGCUCCUGGUUCUUAGGCUCCAGAACGUCCUUCUCACUUGGUGCAUCCUUACCCUGAGUAUAUCUUUCAUUCUCACACUCUGAUUCUCUAUUUUUCUUCCCCAUAAUGUAGCCCUAGAGGCUUGAAACUUCAGAGAAACUUACAUGCCCUCCAUUUGUUCAAAAGGAAGCUCAAAAACAGC
rnacentral:lncRNA from 1 species